rnacentral:rRNA from 1 species
AAUAUUGGACAAUGGGCGAAAGCCUGAUCCAGCCAUGCCGCGUGUGUGAAGAAGGUCUUCGGAUUGUAAAGCCCUCUAAUUUGGGAGGAAGGGCUUUAGGUUAAUACCCUGAAGUUUUGACGUUACCAACAGAAUAAGCAUCGCCCAAUUCCGUGCCAGCAGCCGCGGUAAUACGGAGGAUGCAAGCGUUAAUCGGAAUUACUGGGCGUAAAGCGCGCGUAGGUGGUUCAGCAAGAUGGGUGUGAAAUCCCCGGGCUUAACCUGGGAACUGCUUUCAAAACUGCUGAGCUAGAGUACGGUAGAGGGUAGUGGAAUUUCCUGUGUAGCGGUGAAAUGCGUAGAUAUAGGAAGGAACACCAGUGGCGAAGGCGACUACCUGGACUGAUACUGACACUGAGGUGCGAAAGCGUGGGGAGCAAAC